GAGAUCUCUAUCAGAAGAAGACGACGGUCUUGUGGCGGAAAAAGCUGGAACUCCACAGGAGGCGUGUCGACGACUUCAUCGGGAACAGAGAAAGCCCCAUCAUUCAACGGAGCGAGUCAGAUCGGAGGGCCCGGGGAGCGCCCGGCCGCCGGCCGCGGCAGCUGAGGGUGCCGUAGAGGGGGGAGGGGGGAGCCGAUGAUGGCCGGAAUCUGAG
rnacentral:misc_RNA from 1 species